ACAGCCUUCUCCUCCAUCCUCCCAUAGCCUCUCCAGCCAAUGUCCCCAGUGGCUCCCCCUGGUCCUCUCUUUGCUGUGUGCAUCACCUCCCUAGGCGUAUCUCCCGCUCCACAGCUUGUGCAGCCAGAUUCCAGCUCCCUGGGGCUAGCAGAAGAAGACCUCAUUGGAGAGGACGACGACAUGCCAUCCUUCCGAUACAGACCAGACGCUCUGCCGUUACCUCAGGCUCCCGGCCUGGCCUUUCUGCUGUCAGUACCAAAGGGGACCCAGGCAGAUGCCCUUAGAUCUGGUGGACAAAAUGGGUUGAUUUCCAGGGGAUCCUCCUUGAGUCUACCCUCUGCUUAAAGAGAUCCACCGGAUGGCGCUGCGCAGCCA
rnacentral:lncRNA from 1 species